rnacentral:rRNA from 1 species
UAGGGAAUCUUCCGCAAUGGACGAAAGUCUGACGGAGCGACGCCGCGUGAGCGAAGAAGGCCUUCGGGUCGUAAAGCUCUGUUGUGAGGGACGAAGGAGCGCCGUUUGAAUAAGGCGGCGCGGUGACGGUACCUCACGAGAAAGCCCCGGCUAACUACGUGCCAGCAGCCGCGGUAAUACGUAGGGGGCGAGCGUUGUCCGGAAUUAUUGGGCGUAAAGGGCGCGUAGGCGGACGUUUAAGUCAGGGGUGAAAUCCCGGGGCUCAACCUCGGAAUUGCCUUUGAUACUGGAUGUCUCGAGACCGGAAGAGGUAAGUGGAACUGCGAGUGUAGAGGUGAAAUUCGUAGAUAUUCGCAAGAACACCAGUGGCGAAGGCGGCUUACUGGUCCGGUUCUGACGCUGAGGCGCGAAAGCGUGGGGAGCAAACAGGAUUAGAUACCC